rnacentral:rRNA from 1 species
GCUUAACUGCGAGACAGACACGUCGAGCAGGUACGAAAGUAGGUCUUAGUGAUCCGGUGGUUCUGAAUGGAAGGGCCAUCGCUCAACGGAUAAAAGGUACUCCGGGGAUAACAGGCUGAUACCGCCCAAGAGUUCAUAUCGACGGCGGUGUUUGGCACCUCGAUGUCGGCUCAUCACAUCCUGGUUGUGAACAAUCUGCCAAGGGUUGAUCUGUUCUAUCAUUAAAGUGGUACGUGAGCUGGGUUUAGAACGUCGUGAGACAGUUCGGUC